CCCGCUCCGUGCCUGGGACGAUU
rnacentral:piRNA from 1 species